rnacentral:rRNA from 1 species
AUGGUCUCAGAGGCGCAUAACAACCGUGCGGAGUACGACAAGUCUUUGCAUGAAGCGCGUCGGGAGAUCGACUUGAAGGUGCAAAAGGAUCGCGCUGAGGUAGAUAAGAAACAGAAAAAAGAACAUUCAUACGUGGACAUGAUGAUAAAGGAGGAGCGUGAGGAGUUUUCCCUUAAGAUGGCGAAGAUGCGUCUUGAGAUUGAAGAAAAGUAUAAGAGGAACUGUGAGGACAUGGAAAAAAGUUUGUCUUAG